UACGUAGGGUGCAAGCGUUAUCCGGAAUUAUUGGGCGUAAAGAGCUCGUAGGCGGCUUGUCGCGUCGGAUGUGAAAGCCCGGGGCUUAACUCCGGGUCUGCAUUCGAUACGGGCAGGCUAGAGUUCGGUAGGGGAGAUCGGAAUUCCUGGUGUAGCGGUGAAAUGCGCAGAUAUCAGGAGGAACACCGGUGGCGAAGGCGGGUCUCUGGGCCGUAACUGACGCUGAGGAGCGAAAGCAUGGGGAGCGAACAGG
rnacentral:rRNA from 1 species